rnacentral:rRNA from 1 species
UUUUAUUUGAGAGUUUGAUCCUGGCUCAGGAUGAACGCUGGCGGCGUGCCUAACACAUGCAAGUUGAGCGAUUUACUUCGGUAAAGAGCGGCGGACGGGUGAGUAACGCGUGGGUAACCUACCCUGUACACACGGAUAACAUACCGAAAGGUAUGCUAAUACGGGAUAAUAUAUUUGAGAGGCAUCUCUUGAAUAUCAAAGGUGAGCCAGUACAGGAUGGACCCGCGUCUGAUUAGCUAGUUGGUAAGGUAACGGCUUACCAAGGCGACGAUCAGUAGCCGACCUGAGAGGGUGAUCGGCCACAUUGGAACUGAGACACGGUCCCAACUCCUACGGGAGGCAGCAGUGGGGAAUAUUGCACAAUGGGCGAAAGCCUGAUGCAGCAAGGCCGCGGGAGUGAUGAAGGCCUUCGGGUCGUAAAACUCUGUCCUCAAGGAAGAUAAUGACGGUACUUGGGGAGGAAGCCCCGGCUAACUACGUGCCAGAAGCCGCGGUAAUACGUAGGGGGCUAGCGUUAUCCGGAUUUACUGGGCGUAAAGGGUGCGUAGGCGGUCUUUCAAGUCAGGAGUGAAAGGCUACGGCUCAACCGUAGUAAGCUCUUGAAACUGGGAGACUUGAGUGCAGGAGAGGAGAGUGGAAUUCCUAGUGUAGCGGUGAAAUGCGUAGAUAUUAGGAGGAACACCAGUUGCGAAGGCGGCUCUCUGGACUGUAACUGACGCUGAGGCACGAAAGCGUGGGGAGCAAACAGGAUUAGAUACCCUG